UACAGAGGGGGCAAGCGUUGUUCGGAAUUACUGGGCGUAAAGGGCGCGUAGGCGGCCCGCUAAGUCGAACGUGAAAUCCCCGAGCUCAACUCGGGAACUGCGUCCGAUACUGGCGGGCUUGAAUCCGGGAGAGGGAUGCGGAAUUCCAGGUGUAGCGGUGAAAUGCGUAGAUAUCUGGAGGAACACCGGUGGCGAAGGCGGCAUCCUGGACCGGCAUUGACGCUGAUGAGCGAAAGCCAGGGGAGCAAACGGG
rnacentral:rRNA from 1 species